GGACUACACGGGUAUCUAAUCCCGUUCGCUCCCCUAGCUUUCGCGCCUCAGCGUCAGUUACGAGCUAGCAAGCCGCCUUCGCCACUGGUGUUCCUCCCGAUAUCUACGCAUUUCACUACUACACCGGGAAUUCCACUUGCCUCUCUCGCACUCCAGCUCCGCAGUUUUGGACGCAAUUUCGAGGUUGAGCCUCGAACUUUCACAACCAACUUACGGAACCGCCUACGCGCUCUUUACACCCAGUAAAUCCGGAUAACGCUCGCCCCCUACGUAUUACCGCGGCGGCUGGCAC
rnacentral:rRNA from 1 species